rnacentral:tRNA from 1 species
GCCGAUGUAGUUCAGGGGUAGAACGUCGCCCUCAUAAAGCGAACGUCGCAGGUUCGAUUCCUGCCGUCGGCA